rnacentral:rRNA from 1 species
AUAUAACUAGGCGGAGGAAAAGAAACCAACAAGGAUUCCCUUAGUAACGGCGAGUGAAGCGGGAAAAGCUCAGAGCGAAAAUCUUCGGAAUUGUGCUCUAGAGAAACUUUAUCAAUUCUUACAGCGAGCAAAAUCUUCUGGAAUGAAGUGCCUUGGAGGGUGACAGCCCCGUCUAUGCUUGCUGGUCGGAAUGUACGAUAAGUUUUCAACGAGUCGAGUUGUUUGGGAUUGCAGCCCUAAGUGGGUGGUAAAUUCCAUCUAAAGCUAAAUAUCUCGGGGAGACCGAUAGCGCACAAGUA